AAAAAAUUAACCGAACCGAAAUUU
rnacentral:siRNA from 1 species